rnacentral:rRNA from 1 species
AUUGAACGCUGGCGGCUGGCUUAACACAUGCAAGUCGAGCGGAGAGAGGUAGCUUGCUACUGAUCUUAGCGGCGGACGGGUGAGUAAUGCUUAGGAAUCUGCCUAUUAGUGGGGGACAACAUUUCGAAAGGAAUGCUAAUACCGCAUACGUCCUACGGGAGAAAGCAGGGGGUCUUCGGACCUUGAGCUAAUAGAUGAGCCUAAGUCGGAUUAGCUAGUUGGUGGGGUAAAGGCCUACCAAGGCGACGAUCUGUAGCGGUUCUGAGAGGAUGAUCCGCCACACUGGGACUGAGACACGGCCCAGACUCCUACGGGAGGCAGCAGUGGGGAAUAUUGGACAAUGGGCGGAAGCCUGAUCCAGCCAUGCCGCGUGUGUGAAGAAGGCCUUAUGGUUGUAAAGCACUUUAAGCGAGGAGGAGGCUACUUUAGUUAAUACCUAGAGAUAGUGGACGUUACUCGCAGAAUAAGCACCGGCUAACUCUGUGCCAGCCGCCGCGGUAA